rnacentral:rRNA from 1 species
GACGAACGCGGCGGCGUGCUUAACACAUGCAAGUCGAACGAAGAGCGACGGAAGCUUGCUUCUAUCAAUCUUAGUGGCGAACGGGUGAGUAACGCGUAAUCAACCUGCCCUUCAGAGGGGGACAACAGUUGGAGACGACUGCUAAUACCGCAUACGAUCUAAUCUCGGCAUCGAGGAUAGAUGAAAGGUGGCCUCUACAUGUAAGCUAUCACUGAAGGAGGGGAUUGCGUCUGAUUAGCUAGUUGGAGGGGUAACGGCCCACCAAGGCGAUGAUCAGUAGCCGGUCUGAGAGGAUGAACGGCCACAUUGGGACUGAGACACGGCCCAGACUCCUACGGGAGGCAGCAGUGGGGAAUCUUCCGCAAUGGACGAAAGUCUGACGGAGCAACGCCGCGUGAGUGAUGACGGCCUUCGGGUUGUAAAGCUCUGUUAAUCGGGACGAAAGGCCUUCUUGCGAAUAGUGAGAAGGA